AUCCAUAACACAGUCACUUCUUGGACACCAGUCCUCUCCUGUGCUGAUAGGCUCUUGUCGGUAGACAAUCCUGCAUUACCAUCAAGGCUAAGUAUUUUAAGCAGUUCGAGAGGGGUCUGACUCAUUGGCCUCAGCAAUGCACUGAAAAGACCAGUGAUUGGCCGCAGAGGUCACACGUCAACGUGACAUCACUGCUGCAACUGGGAAGACAGAGCCCCGCUGGGGUAACUGGCGCUGUGGCACAGAAUGUGUCAGGUUAAAUCGAUAUACUACCGCAAAGCACAAGGAAAUCCCGCUUCGCUGCAAAUCAAAUUUAUCCUGAAAUUUGGAUCAAAGUGCACUUCAUGGACUUCAAUUCUCUCAUCAUUAGUAAUGACCACUUUAACAGGGACAUGAACUGAGACAGACUGGGCCCUUAUCACCAUCGCUCUCAGAUAAACAGGCUGCACACCUAAAGUUUCAGUGUCCUAUAGCAGUGAACUGUCAGGAUAGCGGUCCACAAUUCUUAGUGUCCAUCAGUGUGGGGGACCGCGGCCCAUCUGACAAUUCACUGCUAUCAGGUGUCAAAGCUGACGAAACAGCAGAGGCUAAGAGGAAGCAACAACCAGCACCAAAGUCCCUGACGGGACCGCUGCAAACAUACAGUUGUAUUUCUCUGAGGAUGAGGCAGGUCCUGUUUAGCUGUUAUACUGUCUCAUGUAUUACAUUUUAGCUGAAUUAAAUGGAUUUGUGUCCUUGGAAUACCUUAAUGUGUUAGUUUGCUUUAAA